rnacentral:rRNA from 1 species
CCUACGGGUGGCAGCAGUGGGGAAUAUUGGACAAUGGGGGGAACCCUGAUCCAGCCAUGCCGCGUGUGUGAAGAAGGCCCUCGGGUUGGAAAGCACUUUCAGUGAGGAAGAACGCCUGGUGGUUAAUACCCAUCAGGAAAGACAUCACUCACAGAAGAAGCACCGGCUAACUCCGUGCCAGCAGCCGCGGUAAUACGGAGGGUGCGAGCGUUAAUCGGAAUUACUGGGCGUAAAGCGCGCGUAGGUGGCUUGAUAAGCCGGUUGUGAAAGCCCCGGGCUCAACCUGGGAACGGCAUCCGGAACUGUCAAGCUAGAGUGCAGGAGAGGAAGGUAGAAUUCCCGGUGUAGCGGUGAAAUGCGUAGAGAUCGGGAGGAAUACCAGUGGCGAAGGCGGCCUUCUGGACUGACACUGACACUGAGGUGCGAAAGCGUGGGUAGCAAACAGGAUUAGAUACCCCAGUAGUC